AUUGAACGCUGGCGGCAUGCCUUACACAUGCAAGUCGAACGGCAGCACGGGAGCAAUCCUGGUGGCGAGUGGCGAACGGGUGAGUAAUAUAUCGGAACGUGCCCAGUCGUGGGGGAUAACGUAGCGAAAGCUACGCUAAUACCGCAUACGAUCUACGGAUGAAAGCGGGGGAUCGCAAGACCUCGCGCGAUUGGAGCGGCCGAUAUCAGAUUAGCUAGUUGGUGGGGUAAAAGCUCACCAAGGCGACGAUCUGUAGCUGGUCUGAGAGGACGACCAGCCACACUGGAACUGAGACACGGUCCAGACUCCUACGGGAGGCAGCAGUGGGGAAUUUUGGACAAUGGGCGCAAGCCUGAUCCAGCAAUGCCGCGUGCAGGAUGAAGGCCUUCGGUUGUAAACUGCUUUGUUACGGAACGAAACGGUGAGUCUAAUAAAGACUUGCUAAUGACGGUACCGUAAGAAUAAGCACCGGCUAACUACGUG
rnacentral:rRNA from 1 species